GACGUAGGGGGCAAGCGUUGUCUGGAAUCAUUGGGCGUAAAGCGCGUGUAGGCGGCUCGGUAAGUCCGCUGUGAAAGUCCAGGGCUCAACCCUGGAAUGCCGGUGGAAACUGUCGGGCUAGAGUCCGGAAGAGGCGAGUGGAAUUCCUGGUGUAGCGGUGAAAUGCGCAGAUAUCGGGAGGAACACCAAUUGCGAAGGCAGCUCGCUGGGACGUUACUGACGCUGAGACGCGAAAGCGUGGGGAGCGAACAGG
rnacentral:rRNA from 1 species